rnacentral:rRNA from 1 species
GACGAACGCUGGCGGCGUGCCUAACACAUGCAAGUCGAGCGAAUGAAGUUCCUUCGGGAAUGGAUUUAGCGGCGGACAGGUGAGUAACACGUGGGUAACCUGCCUCAUAGAGGGGAAUAGCCUCCCGAAAGGGAGAUUAAUACCGCAUAAGAUUGUAGUACCGCAUGAUACAGCAAUUAAACGAGCAAUCCGCUAUGAGAUGGGCCCGCGGCGCAUUAGCUAGUUGGUGAGGUAAUGGCUCACCAAGGCGACGAUGCGUAGCCGACCUGAGAGGGUGAUCGGCCACAUUGGGACUGAGACACGGCCCAGACUCCUACGGGAAGCAGCAGUGGGGAAUAUUGCACAAUGGGGGAAACCCUGAUGCAGCAACGCCGCGUGAGUGAUGACGGCCUUCGGGUUGUAAAGCUCUGUCUUCAGGGACGAUAAUGACGGUACCUGAGGAGGAAGCCACGGCUAACUACGUG